AACCCACUCUCAUCAAGAAGAUAAUAGCAGAACUAAAGAGCUGGAACCAUCACCAAAUAAUGGAAGCUGGUUGGAAAAGAACUUCCAUGAAUUUGAACCAGUCAUUAAGAAGAUUCAAAUGGGAUUUAGGGAUAAUUACCGUGUGGCAAAGGAGAAAUCUGACGAGGAGCUGAAUCUGAAAACUCAGAUGUUUCAUCUUGAGACUAAUGAGAAUGUCACCGAGCUUGAGUGGAUGAAAGAUGAAAGACUUAAUGAAAUUGUUUUUAAAGUUAGAGAAAAUGAGCUUGCUGGUAGAGAGCCAUUUUAUCAGAUGGAUGAUGAAGAUAAACUUGCCUUCUUCAGUGGCCUUGAGAAGAAAGUUGAUCAAGAGAAUAAACAACUACAGAAUUUGCACGAGUGGCUCCACUCAAACAUUGAAAACCUUGAUUAUGGAGCAGAUGGCAUCAGUUUAUAUGAUCCACCCGAGAAAAUUAUACCUCGCUGGAAAGGUCCACCACUGGAAGGAAG
rnacentral:misc_RNA from 1 species